GCCUCUGUGGCGGAAUUGGUAGACGCGAUAGACUCAAAAUCUAUUGUCUUAUGGAUGUGUCAGUUCGAGUCUGACCAGAGGUACCA
rnacentral:tRNA from 1 species